UGUGAACUGAUAAAUAUUUUACUGAUUCAAUGUCCGGGAUGCUGCUAUUGUUAACCUUUCCUCUCUCGUUUUCUAAAGUCCUCUUCAGUCGAGAGAAAAGACAACUGGAUCUUUUUCAGUCCAAACCUUUGAAGUCCUCCACAGACCAGUUUCUCCCUCAGAUCUCUGGAUACUUUCACUUUCCAGGGGAUUUCAUCACCAGCAGGCUCCGCCCCCUUUACUGCCUCAUAUGAUCCUGAUCCGCUUUCAGUUCUAACAAUCGUUUCCCGACCGUCUUCUGAGAAACAACUCCUCCAUCAAAUGAACCCUCAGGAUGUCCUCCAUCUUCUUCAGGACGUUGGCGCUGAUGUCUGUGCUUCUGUGUGGAGUCUCUGCAGACGCAGCUAUUUCACUACACUGCAACCAACCAGUGAAUGUUACAUUUGGACAGGUUCUGAAUCUCACGUGUGUCAUUGAAUUGAAACAAGACGACUGUAAAGAUGUUUAUGUUGAGUGGAACGACACAGUAGAGGACCUCUGUGUUAAUAACAGAUUUGGUGCAGUUUGUGGCAAGGCUUCUAAGACUGUGAUUGUGAAGGUCUAUCCUGAUGUGCAUCUAGAUGGAACUGCUAAAACACCUGCCGCUAUUUGGCAAAUUACAACUUCUGAGCAACCAGAGAAGAAUAAAAGGAAUUAUAUCGCGGCGGCUGCCGUCUCUGUGGUCGUUAUUGGAGUUGUUGUAGUUGUUGGAGCGGUUGUGUAUAUGAAAUUCAAAAGGAAGUGCCCACCAUUGUCUUCGACAGCAGAAUCAGAUGCUCUGACAGACGCCGUAUAAAACGAGCUUUUCAGCUCCGAAUGAACUUGUCAAGUUGGCCUGAGGAAAUCAUGUGACUUCCUUCAGCUCCGUCCGGCAGACGACGUCUUCACUUCUCUGCUGCUUCACUAACUCAGUCCAGUGUAGCGCUCCAGUUCAACCGUGUGAAGAACAAAAGAACAAGAGAGAAUAGCGCUCCGAUGUACGAGCAGGACUCAAACGCAUCAUGGAGACAAAACGCUGGCGAGUCCGGUCGGGUCGUCCCCAAAGUCAGGACCGAUUCCUGCAGAACACGAGGAGAAGAUGAUGAAGAAACGGGAUAUUUUAUGGAUCCAGGAUUUCUCUGGAGGUCCAGAGUUUCUCUGUUUUUAUGGAUUCAAGACAAAAUCUACCAAAUUAUUUAUGUUGUGCUAAACAAACUUUUAGUAAAUAUUUGUUUUUUUACAUAUCUUUGUAAAUUAUUUGCAUAAAAUCAACAAGUACCUUAAGUUUUUCCGAUGGCAAAUUAUUUUAAAAUCAUGAAUUUUUCCAUUCCCCGUGAACAAAAACAUGCUGUGAUGAUUUCAUUCAGAUAAACUUGUUGGUUCUGUUUGUUUACAGCAUGUUUGUGUCUGUGAAGCCUUUUAAAUUAAUCUAUGUAAAUAUUUUAUUCUCAGAAGUCCUAAAUAUGAAUUUUUAACCUGCAGGUCAAGGUUUGUGUAUGGGGACGUCAAUGGGUUGCACUGCCCUCUAGUGGUGAAUCUGUGUAACUACACUUUUCUUUUAGAAAACUCUUGUUUGCUCUUCUAAUCUAAUGUAAAUAUGUCUUCUAUUUGUUCUUUUAUAUAUGUACUUCAGCUGCUGCUUUUGUAAUAAAAACAUGUUCAUGUUUGUCCAAUGAAAAGUUGGAGC
ensembl:lncRNA